GAUGAAGAACGUAGCGAAAUGCGAAAAGUAAUGUGAAUCGCAGAAUUCAGUGAAUCAUCGAAUCUUUGAACGCACAUUGCGCCCGCCAGUAUUCUGGCGGGCAUGCCUGUCUGAGCGUCAUUUCAACCCUCACGCCCCUAGGGCGUGGUGUUGGGGAUCGGCCAGCGCCCUCGCGGGCGAGGCCGUCCCCUAAAUCUAGUGGCGGACCCGUCGUGGCCUCCCCUGCGAAGUAGUGAUAUUCCGCAUAGGAGAGCGACGAGCCCCUGCCGUUAAACCCCCAACUUUCUCAGGUUGACCUCAGAUCAGGUAGGAAUACCCGCUGAACUUAAGCAUAUCAAUAAGCGGAGGA
rnacentral:misc_RNA from 1 species